GGCGAACGGGUUAGUAACGCGUGGGAACAUACACAGCACAGGGGGAUAACCAUUGGAAACGAUGGCUAAUACCGCAUACGCCCUAUUGGGGAAAGAUUUAUCGGUGUUGGAUUGGCCCGCGUUAGAUUAGCUAGUUGGUGGGGUAAUGGCUCACCAAGGCGACGAUUUAUAGCUGGUUUGAGAGGAUGAUCAGCAACACUGGAACUGAGACACGGUCCAGACUCCUACGGGAGGCAGCAGUCGGGAAUAUUGUGCAAUGGGGGCAACCCUGACACAGCCAUGCCGCGUGAGUGAAGAAGGCCUUAGGGUUGUAAAGCUCUUUCAGAUGUGAGGAUGAUGACGAUAGCAUCAGAAGAAGCUCCGGCUAACUUCGUGCCAGCAGCCGCGGUAAUACGAAGGGAGCUAGCGUGGUUCGGAAUUACUGGGCGUAAAGGGCGUGUAGGCGGAUUAUCAAGUUAGGGGUGAAAUCCCGGGGCUCA
rnacentral:rRNA from 1 species